rnacentral:lncRNA from 1 species
CCUCGUAAGCAUGGUAUUUGGCUGGGUUGAGUCCAAAAUCCACCACUGCCUUGGAAGCAAAGAAGUCAUAGUAGAGAAGAUGGUGGGGGGGCUGCCCGGCCUUGAAUAGGUACCAGUGGAUGUAGUUGUUUUCCUCAAGAACAUCACAAGUGAUAACUACAUAGGACCCAUGUUUCCUGGCAAUUGACAUCAUUCCUCCUUCCAAUCCAGAAGACAUUUGACUGCCUACGGAGGACACAGCAACGAAACAAUGAUAAGAAAGAAGUAAGUGGAAUUCUUUAGUAUGGCCUCCCAGCGUGGGGGACCAUGAGCAGCUAUGCCACACCCUUACCAGGAGGCAGGAGAGCUAAAAGCAGGACCACAGCCCACAGCAUGGCUACCUCUCCUCUGCCUUGGAAGGAGAGGGACCAGAUGAGAAGAGAAGCAGAGAGUCCUCUCCAAACUCAAAGCCCUCUCAACACGAAGAACGGUCCUGUGGCCCUGUACCAUAAGGACGACAGGAAGCUGCCAGUUCCAACCAACCUCUGUCCACUGCCCUGGCUCCAUGCGGCAGAGUUCCUUCCCUGUGAACAGCCCGGGCAGGGCUGAUCUGGGAAUGACCAGCAGGUGACACCACCCCAUAAAGAGUGGUCAAGGGGACAGGCUACUGCUCAGGAUGGAGCUGUCCCAAAGGGACUUCUGGGGAAGACUUGACUUCAGAACUGGUGAUCCUGCGAGGAUGUGUCACUUUGGAAAAGCAGAUCAACAGCUGGAGUCCGAAUGGGCUUAGAGGUGUGUGUCCUUGGGAAAGUCAGGGUAAAU